UUAACACAUGCAAGUCGAGGGGCAGCAUGAACUUAGCUUGCUAAGUUUGAUGGCGACCGGCGCACGGGUGAGUAACACGUAUCCAACCUGCCGAUGACUCGGGGAUAGCCUUUCGAAAGAAAGAUUAAUACCCGAUGGCAUAGUUCUUCCGCAUGGUAGGACUAUUAAAGAAUUUCGGUCAUCGAUGGGGAUGCGUUCCAUUAGGUUGUUGGCGGGGUAACGGCCCACCAAGCCUUCGAUGGAUAGGGGUUCUGAGAGGAAGGUCCCCCACAUUGGAACUGAGACACGGUCCAAACUCCUACGGGAGGCAGCAGUGAGGAAUAUUGGUCAAUGGACGAGAGUCUGAACCAGCCAAGUAGCGUGAAGGAUGACUGCCCUAUGGGUUGUAAACUUCUUUUAUACGGGAAUAAAGUGAGGCACGUGUGCCUUUUUGUAUGUACCGUAUGAAUAAGGAUCGGCUAACUCCGUGCCAGCAGCCGCGGUAAUACGGAGGAUCCGAGCGUUAUCCGGAUUUAUUGGGUUUAAAGGGAGCGUAGGCGGACGCUUAAGUCAGUUGUGAAAGUUUGCGGCUCAACCGUAAAAUUGCAGUUGAUACUGGGUGUCUUGAGUACAGUAGAGGCAGGCGGAAUUCGUGGUGUAGCGGUGAAAUGCUUAGAUAUCACGAAGAACUCCGAUUGCGAAGGCAGCUUGCUGGACUGUAACUGACGCUGAUGCUCGAAAGUGUGGGUAUCAAACAGGAUUAGAUACCCUGGUAGUCCACACAGUAAACGAUGAAUACUCGCUGUUUGCGAUAUACAGUAAGCGGCCAAGCGAAAGCGUUAAGUAUUCCACCUGGGGAGUACGCCGGCAACGGUGAAACUCAAAGGAAUUGACGGGGGCCCGCACAAGCGGAGGAACAUGUGGUUUAAUUCGAUGAUACGCGAGGAACCUUACCCGGGCUUGAAUUGCAACUGAAUGAUGUGGAGACAUGUCAGCCGCAAGGCAGUUGUGAAGGUGCUGCAUGGUUGUCGUCAGCUCGUGCCGUGAGGUGUCGGCUUAAGUGCCAUAACGAGCGCAACCCUUAUCGAUAGUUACCAUCAGGUUAUGCUGGGGACUCUGUCGAGACUGCCGUCGUAAGAUGUGAGGAAGGUGGGGAUGACGUCAAAUCAGCACGGCCCUUACGUCCGGGGCUACACACGUGUUACAAUGGGGGGUACAGAAGGCAGCUACACGGCGACGUGAUGCUAAUCCCGAAAGCCUCUCUCAGUUCGGAUUGGAGUCUGCAACCCGACUCCAUGAAGCUGGAUUCGCUAGUAAUCGCGCAUCAGCCACGGCGCGGUGAAUGCGUUCCCGGGCCUUGUACACACCGCCCGUCAAGCCAUGAAAGCCGGGGGUACCUGAAGUGCGUAACCGCGAGGAGCGCCCUAGGGUAAAACUGGUGAUUGGGGCUAAGUCAUAACA
rnacentral:rRNA from 1 species